UUAAGUUAUUAAGGGCGCAUGGUGGAUGCCUUGGCACUAGAAGCCGAUGAAGGACGUUACUAACGACGAUAUGCUUUGGGGAGCUGUAAGUAAGCUUUGAUCCAGAGAUUUCCGAAUGGGGAAACCCAGCAUGAGUUAUGUCAUGUUAUCGAUAUGUGAAUACAUAGCAUAUCAGAAGGCACACCCGGAGAACUGAAACAUCUUAGUACCCGGAGGAAGAGAAAGAAAAUUCGAUUCCCUUAGUAGCGGCGAGCGAAACGGGAAGAGCCCAAACCAACAAGCUUGCUUGUUGGGGUUGUAGGACACUCUAUACGGAGUUACAAAGGACGACAUUAGACGAAUCAUCUGGAAAGAUGAAUCAAAGAAGGUAAUAAUCCUGUAGUCGAAAAUGUUGUCUCUCUUGAGUGGAUCCUGAGUACGACGGAGCACGUGAAAUUCCGUCGGAAUCUGGGAGGACCAUCUCCUAAGGCUAAAUACUCUCUAGUGACCGAUAGUGAACCAGUACCGUGAGGGAAAGGUGAAAAGCACCCCGGAAGGGGAGUGAAAUAGAACCUGAAACCGUGUGCUUACAAGUAGUCAGAGCCCGUUAAUGGGUGAUGGCGUGCCUUUUGUAGAAUGAACCGGCGAGUUACGAUUUGAUGCAAGGUUAAGCAGUAAAUGUGGAGCCGUAGCGAAAGCGAGUCUGAAUAGGGCGUUUAGUAUUUGGUCGUAGACCCGAAACCAGGUGAUCUACCCUUGGUCAGGUUGAAGUUCAGGUAACACUGAAUGGAGGACCGAACCGACUUACGUUGAAAAGUGAGCGGAUGAACUGAGGGUAGCGGAGAAAUUCCAAUCGAACCUGGAGAUAGCUGGUUCUCUCCGAAAUAGCUUUAGGGCUAGCCUCAAGUGAUGAUUAUUGGAGGUAGAGCACUGUUUGGACGAGGGGCCCCUCUCGGGUUACCGAAUUCAGACAAACUCCGAAUGCCAAUUAAUUUAACUUGGGAGUCAGAACAUGGGUGAUAAGGUCCGUGUUCGAAAGGGAAACAGCCCAGACCACCAGCUAAGGUCCCAAAAUAUAUGUUAAGUGGAAAAGGAUGUGGCGUUGCCCAGACAACUAGGAUGUUGGCUUAGAAGCAGCCAUCAUUUAAAGAGUGCGUAAUAGCUCACUAGUCGAGUGACACUGCGCCGAAAAUGUACCGGGGCUAAACAUAUUACCGAAGCUGUGGAUUGUCCUUUGGACAAUGGUAGGAGAGCGUUCUAAGGGCGUUGAAGCAUGAUCGUAAGGACAUGUGGAGCGCUUAGAAGUGAGAAUGCCGGUGUGAGUAGCGAAAGACGGGUGAGAAUCCCGUCCACCGAUUGACUAAGGUUUCCAGAGGAAGGCUCGUCCGCUCUGGGUUAGUCGGGUCCUAAGCUGAGGCCGACAGGCGUAGGCGAUGGAUAACAGGUUGAUAUUCCUGUACCACCUAUAAUCGUUUUAAUCGAUGGGGGGACGCAGUAGGAUAGGCGAAGCGUGCGAUUGGAUUGCACGUCUAAGCAGUAAGGCUGAGUAUUAGGCAAAUCCGGUACUCAUUAAGGCUGAGCUGUGAUGGGGAGAAGACAUUGUGUCUUCGAGUCGUUGAUUUCACACUGCCGAGAAAAGCCUCUAGAUAGAAAAUAGGUGCCCGUACCGCAAACCGACACAGGUAGUCAAGAUGAGAAUUCUAAGGUGAGCGAGCGAACUCUCGUUAAGGAACUCGGCAAAAUGACCCCGUAACUUCGGGAGAAGGGGUGCUCUUUAGGGUUAACGCCCAGAAGAGCCGCAGUGAAUAGGCCCAAGCGACUGUUUAUCAAAAACACAGGUCUCUGCUAAACCGUAAGGUGAUGUAUAGGGGCUGACGCCUGCCCGGUGCUGGAAGGUUAAGAAGAGUGGUUAGCUUCUGCGAAGCUACGAAUCGAAGCCCCAGUAAACGGCGGCCGUAACUAUAACGGUCCUAAGGUAGCGAAAUUCCUUGUCGGGUAAGUUCCGACCCGCACGAAAGGCGUAACGAUUUGGGCACUGUCUCAACGAGAGACUCGGUGAAAUCAUAGUACCUGUGAAGAUGCAGGUUACCCGCGACAGGACGGAAAGACCCCGUGGAGCUUUACUGUAGCCUGAUAUUGAAAUUCGGCACAGCUUGUACAGGAUAGGUAGGAGCCUUUGAAACGUGAGCGCUAGCUUACGUGGAGGCGCUGGUGGGAUACUACCCUAGCUGUGUUGGCUUUCUAACCCGCACCACUUAUCGUGGUGGGAGACAGUGUCAGGCGGGCAGUUUGACUGGGGCGGUCGCCUCCUAAAAGGUAACGGAGGCGCUCAAAGGUUCCCUCAGAAUGGUUGGAAAUCAUUCAUAGAGUGUAAAGGCAUAAGGGAGCUUGACUGCGAGACCUACAAGUCGAGCAGGGUCGAAAGACGGACUUAGUGAUCCGGUGGUUCCGCAUGGAAGGGCCAUCGCUCAACGGAUAAAAGCUACCCCGGGGAUAACAGGCUUAUCUCCCCCAAGAGUUCACAUCGACGGGGAGGUUUGGCACCUCGAUGUCGGCUCAUCGCAUCCUGGGGCUGUAGUCGGUCCCAAGGGUUGGGCUGUUCGCCCAUUAAAGCGGUACGCGAGCUGGGUUCAGAACGUCGUGAGACAGUUCGGUCCCUAUCCGUCGUGGGCGUAGGAAAUUUGAGAGGAGCUGUCCUUAGUACGAGAGGACCGGGAUGGACAUACCUCUGGUGUACCAGUUGUCGUGCCAACGGCAUAGCUGGGUAGCUAUGUGUGGACGGGAUAAGUGCUGAAAGCAUCUAAGCAUGAAGCCCCCCUCAAGAUGAGAUUUCCCAACUUCGGUUAUAAGAUCCCUCAAAGAUGAUGAGGUUAAUAGGUUCGAGGUGGAAGCAUGGUGACAUGUGGAGCUGACGAAUACUAAUCGAUCGAAGACUUAAUCAA
rnacentral:rRNA from 1 species